rnacentral:rRNA from 1 species
AGAGUUUGAUCAUGGCUCAGGACAAACGCUGGCGGCGUGCCUAACACAUGCAAGUCGAGCGUGAAAGGAGCUUCGGCUCUGAGUAAAGCGGCGAACGGGUGAGUAACACGUGGGCAACCUGCCUCAAGGACUGGGAUAACUCCGGGAAACCGGGGCUAAUACCGGGCGAUGUCGUCCCUCAUAAGUGGGCCGACCAAAUGGUAGCUUCGGCCUCCGCCUUGAGAUGGGCCCGCGUCCUAUCAGCUUGUUGGUGAGGUAAUGGCUCACCAAGGCUCCGACGGGUAGCUGGUCUGAGAGGAUGAUCAGCCACACUGGGACUGAGAUACGGCCCAGACUCCUACGGGAGGCAGCAGUGGGGAAUCUUGCGCAAUGGGCGAAAGCCUGACGCAGCAACGCCGCGUGAGCGAAGAAGGCCUUCGGGUUGUAAAGCUCUGUCAGGGGGAAAGAAGGCACCUGGGUUAAUAGCCCAAGGGCUGACGGUACCCCCAAAGGAAGCCACGGCUAACUACGUGCCAGCAGCCGCGGUAAUACGUAGGUGGCAAGCGUUGUCCGGAAUCAUUGGGCGUAAAGAGCGCGUAGGUGGCUUGUCAGGUCUGAUGUGAAAUUUCGGGGCUCAACCCCGAACCUGCAUCGGAAACCGGCUUGCUAGAGUCUGGGAGAGGAGAGUGGAAUUCCUGGUGUAGCGGUGAAAUGCGUAGAUAUCAGGAGGAACACCGGUAGCGAAGGCGGCUCUCUGGAACAGUACUGACGCUGAGGCGCGAAAGCUAGGGGAGCGAACAGGAUUAGAUACCCUAGUAGUCC